ACGACCCGGCAUCUGCUGCACAGAGGGCGUCCUGCGCGGCUGGCUGCUGAUCAAGUCAGAAAGUUUUCACCUGAACUUCCCGGUGUCAGUGAGACUUUUACUCUUUCCACUGAUUUCUGCUGCUGUUACUGCUACUUCCAAGGCUAGAACUAUUUUUACUACUACAACUACUGAUACUUCUACUACCACUAUUCCUGUCACCAACUGCUGCUUCUACUCCUAGCUACUGCUUUGACUACAACUUCUAUUUCUUCACUGACACUACUACUGUUAGUUCUGUGAGUACUGUUAGUAGUACUAUUCCUUCUAUGGAUCCUUCUGCUACUGGUAUUGCUUAUUCUACUGCGACUACUACUGUACAUGUACCACCUCUAAUGUCUGUACUCCUAGCUAGCUAUACUAACUAGUAUACUACUAUUUCUAAGGCUAUGACUGCUACACUUUUUUCUACUUCUGGUUUUUCCUCCACUAUCACAACCAUUAAUGAUACUUUAUACUGUUAUACUCUUUCAUGCAUGGCUACUACGACACAAACCGAUGUUUUCACAGUCAUACUUCAACUACUUCAAUGAUUACUUCUGUAGAUUUCUGGUCUAUAAGUGCAGGUGUGUACUGUGUUUCAUAUUUGAGUAUUACCAUUUCUAUUUGUGUUUCUUAUGGCGUCAGUUCUACAAUGACUUCUGCCGCCGUCUUCUACUGAUGUGUCACAGCUUGUUGCACAAGUCUCCACCUUGAGAGCCGCGUCAAGUGUAAACCCAAAAUCGUCCAGUGCAAUCAGACCUUGGGUCGUCUCCCGUGGCCAGAGAUUUGCAUCACCUCCCGGCGUCACUUUUAAUGAACACACACGCGACUUCUGAUCACCAGCCACCAGCUCACUCUUCCUGCGGGCUAAACUAACUUCAGAGAAGCGACCCGUUCACAGACGGCUCCAGCGGUCCGAGCCUGCGGGCUGCCACUUUCAUCUGAGUCUUUCAUCCACGGCUUCAGACGCUCACUGAAAUCGACACACACAGCCAAAAAGUCUCCGCUCACCUAGCGGCGCUCCGACCACGGCCGCUUUGACUGCUCUGAAUAAUGGAGGAGAACUGAAAUAUUAAGAUGGCCGCUCCGAGCGGUCGUCCCCUCUCUACUGUCUAUUCACCUGAGCCACUCAUUUGCUCCGACCCAACACCCACAGGAACUCAGAUCCACAGGGAGGUUUUUAAAGCUCCAAUUAUCCCAAGAUUUAUCUCUGGGACUUGUCAUCGGCAGCAACUCACCAUCCUGGAAGCCAGCAUGAGAAACUGCCUGAGCUUUACCGAAUCUAAUCUAAGAUACUCUCAACAAAGUGACUGAAAACCUGGUGCGUCUGUGGCGUCUCCCAAACAGAAGACAUUGUUAACCUGGAGCUGCGAAGCCGGUCCCCAGGGAGGGCUGAUGGGUUCCCAAAUGAGCUCGAGGCACCAGUACACACCCCAACAGUGGCGUGGGUUUCUGGGUCAAGUCACUCAACCUGGGACGACAGGGCUUGUUAGGUGUUGUUGACUCAGCAGUUCCAGGUCAGUGGAAGAAACUGCUGUUGCUAUUUAGUUAUUUUCCUACUUUUACUGUUAGUUCCAAGUGAUACUGAUCUCUCGUCCUUCUCACACUACUAUAGUACUUAUACUGUUUAUCUUUCUUCUUCAACUACUUCAACUGAUACAACUGGACCUUUUCCUCUACUACUAUUGAUUCUUCUGAUACUUGUACUUCAUCUAUUUAUUCUUCCCCUCUACUAUUAGUCUUUUUUCUCCAACUGAAACUUUGAUUGUAUUAUUACUACGGUUGAUACUUCUGACACCUCCUCCUCUUCCCCCUUAUUAGGAUUACUGCCACGACUACCUUUAAACUGUUUCUUCCGUAACCUAUCUCAGUUCAAUACUAUUGAAACUUCUAAUUUUUCUCUGCCUAGUACUACCUCUACUGCAUCUAUGAUUACCAGUACUACUCCUUCUAGUGAUAGCAUUCUAUCGUCUGUUGAAUGUAUCUGCAGAACUGCAAAUACUACUACCAAUACUACAAUUAAUAAUAUUAAUAAUAAAACAAUCUUCUACUUCUGCUCUUCCCUCUACUAUCACAACCAAUACUGACACCCUUCUGUACUAUGAUUACUAUUAAUGCUGCCACCACUGAUACAACCAUGACUACUACUACCUCUGCCACAGCAACUAAGCCGAUGGUACUGUGGCUUCUUCCACUCGUCCUCCUGCUGCAGAAGCUUGUUGCCGCGCCACUGACACACACAAGUGAGACGGCAUUAUCUCUUGUUUUCCUCUGAGAGGCUGUUGUCUCAUUUGUUACAGCGACUCGCCAGAAAGAGAAAAGAAAACUCAGUUGAAGAGCAAAACACAAAACUUGAGGGACAAACAAGAGGGUUGUAAGAGUCCUGUGUACAUGUCUGAUGUGUUCUACUCAACAUGUUUUAAACGUUUAUGUUCAUCAAACUGGGAUGAUAUUCAGUUCAGCUCCCAAGGUGACGGCAGCCCUUAUCCUGGUUUGUUUGCCCAAAUUAGUUCCUCAUAUCGAAGCAGACCUUCGUAUUGACAUGAAUAAAAUGCGAGCUCGUUGGAAAGGUCGCUCCAGCAGCUCACCUCUGACGCCAAGCAAUAAAUAAAUCUCUUUUUCUCCUGCGAGAAGGUACAUGACAGGCGAGCGAGACGAAGUGACACCAGGCCUUCUGACUCUUCCCAGUUUCAUCUCUCAACUGCUGUCCUUGACUCAUGUCAGGAUUUAUUACUGAAGUGCGAUCGUGACAGAUUUGCUGAGCAGCAGGAGAGACGACCGGAGUUUGGAGCGCGGUGUGAUUCUUUAUCACGCUUUAAUCACAGCAACUGCUCCCGACAAAAUGCUCGUUUGAUCUGCCAAGUCUGUCGUCUCCGUACGCAACAGCGUGGCUCCAUCCUUGUCAGGGCACAAACAUGUGACUUCCUCCAGCUCUGUUGCUGGAGCUGAGCUGUUUCCAGGUUGACAGCAUCUCUCCUGGGUCUGAGCCGGGGCCUCCCCCCGUCCUGCAGGAGUCGUCCUGGCUUCUGUUGAUACCAAGAAGCCCAUGACUCCAGACACCCUGCAGACACCCUCCGCUCAACCCGCCGCAUCAGCACCACUCUGGGAAGCAGCUCGCCAACAGACGAAUCAAUCAGGUGGACAAAGAGCGAGGAUAUUUACAGAGAGUAGCGCCGCCCGGCUGCUCAUCCAUCAACAGUGUGAAAGGAAAUGAUGCCUGACUUCACGUUAGAUUCCGGAAAUAUUGGGGAUAGUGAGUAAGUGAACCGCGUGUGUGACUGAGGAUGACGUCUUCUAGCUGGGGGCGACCAGAGAGAGUCCCAGGCAUCCUACAUCAUGAACCUCUCAGCUUUUCCAUCUCCAAAAGUCUUGGCCCAAUCGUCUUCAGUGGAGACGUAAUUGUUCAUCAAGUGGAUUGGACCUGAGAUCUUCGACUACCUCUUCUCCUUUCAGCAAGUCCUCAUCGACAUCAUCCUCUAGUCACAGACAGACGUGAACCUGGCUUCUUCAUCACCAAGAUUCUUGGUCCACUCCGCCUAACCAUCUGGCCCCCCUGCCAUUGUCUCCAAACUCCUCCACCUCUGAUUCUCUAGUCGCACAACCUCAGUCUGACCAGUAUUACUGACCACUACUCUCCUGUAAAGCUGCAGCUCGGACAUCACAGUCGUCCACGGCUGCACUUGCUUCUUCACCUUCUGUGCGUCACCCUGGAUGAUGGACCUACAACUCACCCACUCCAUCACCUCCUCCUCUACCUUCUGACUCUACAAAUCAUCAGUCAACAUCGUCACCUCGGGGGAAUCUUUACAGUUUCAAAGUCUGCAAAAACAUUAAGAAAUUAGAGCUUAUUUUUGGUGAUUUGUGGUUUCUAUUGUCAGUGAAGAUUGUUGCUAAACGUUAGCAGGCAAACAAAACAAAAGGCUGCUUAACUACUAGCCCAACUUCAUUUUCCUACACCUCAAUGUGGAACUAUAAAAUUAUAUUUUAUAAAAACAAGAAGA